GUCAUUUGUGGAGCACCUACUCUGUGUCAGCUCUCCUGGGUGCAGGGAAUAUAGUGUUGCAGGUGUACAACAGAGUGACCCAACACUUCUAUACGUUACGCAGUGCUGGGCCGGAUGUCUGUGGUUACUCUGCGUCACCAGACGAUGUUACUACAAUGUCACUGACCAUAUUUCCUGUGCCGUAUUUUUCAUCCCUCUAGAAGGCUGAGCCCGGAGAGAUGAAGAACCUAGAGUCUGUGCUGCAGCCGCUUUCCAGCACCGCCUCCCACGAGCUGCAUGGCCUUAGCCCCCUCCCCCUGCCCCGUCGGCGUGCCCACACCACCGGUCCGCUGAGCCCAGCACACCGCCUGGCCCCGCAGACGUGCCCGAGAAGUCCCAACUGACCCAAAGAAAUGGUGACGUCAGAGCGUUCACUUGCGAAAUUACGCUACGGAAUUGGCCAACUCAAUUUGGAAGCCGAAGGCUCCUGAAUAUUUAUGUUCCUCCUGUAGAAGAUGGGCGGAAUCGUGACAAAUUCCUGCCUUUCUCCUCAAGAGGAAAGGGGGGAUUAGGAGGGAAAUUCGCACCCCUCGAUCAAUAUAUGGCAAAGCUGC